CGCUUUAAGGUUGGUGGCUAUUGCGAGGUGGCAAGAAGGCCAUUACGUACGUAGAAGAGAUCCUGGAGAAGAACGCUACAGAGGCACGAUCGAGGAGGCUGUGAGGAAAGCAUGCAGCUUCCUGCCCGAAUCUCUCCAGGCUGAGUGUGACCACUGUUGAACAUAUGAGCCAGUGCUCGUCCAGCUGCUGCUUCAGAUGCUGGACCCAGACUUCGUGUGCAUGAAAGUGGGAGCCUGCCCA